GUUAUCUGUAUGGAUGCUGUUGAACGCUGUUCCCUUUUCUGAGGUUUCCAACACUUGUCUGAGAGCUGUCCGGCGAAGAAGGAUCCGAUCAGGAUGCCCACAAAAAAGAUGGUGGUGGUGAACGGCUUCUUCCACUUUUGGUCGCACACCAGGUCGAACUGAAAAAUUGACAUAAUCCAAGGGUGGUGAGGUUUACGUCCUGAUCCGGACUGUAUCCCAUAUCCGAGAGGUUCCGGACCACAUCCAGGCGGUACCGGCUGCAGCUGCUGGGUUGCGGCUUGCCGUCGACCACCUGCAUGCCACACGGAG